rnacentral:misc_RNA from 1 species
UUCCUUGAUACUCCAAGCUUUUUCUUCAUUUCUUCAAAUUUGCUCUUAGGAAGAGCCUUGGUCGAAACAUCAGCAAGUUGCUCAUCGGAUUUGCAGUGCAGCAACUUGAUUUCACAGCUUUUUUCAGCUUCUCGCAAGAAAUGAAACUUCACUUUAAUAUGCUUAGUCCUUCCAUGUUGAAUUGGAUUACUUGCAAUUGCAAUGGCAGACUUAUUGUCACACCAAAUAACAGUAGGUUCAACUUGCUCAUUUGCCAAAUCCUUCAG